CGUCUCCUUCGGGAGACAAGUAGAGCGGCGCACGGGUGAGUAACACGUGAGUAACCUACCUCGGGGUACGGGAUAACCAUUGGAAACGAUGGCUAAUACCGUAUGAGCCCACAGCUUCGCAGGGAGCGGUGGGAAAAGCGGGCUUCGGCUCGCGCCUUGGGAUGGGCUCGCGGCCCAUUAGCUAGUUGGUGGGGUAACGGCCCACCAAGGCUGAGAUGGGUAGCUGGUCUGAGAGGAUGAUCACCCACUCUGGGACUGAGACACGGCCCACACUCCUACGGGAGGCAGCAGUGGGGAAUCUUGCGCAAUGGACGAAAGUCUGACGCAACAACGCCGCGUGGGUGAUGAAGGCCCUUGGGUCGUAAAGCCCUGUCAGGAGGGAAGAAAGUCGUACGGUUAAUACCCGUGCGAAUUGACGGUACCUUCAAAGGAAGCACCGGCUAACUCCGUGCCAGCAGCCGCGGUAAUACGGAGGGUGCGAGCGUUGUUCGGAAUCAUUGGGCGUAAAGAGAGCGUA
rnacentral:rRNA from 1 species